UACGUAGGGUGCGAGCGUUAAUCGGAAUUACUGGGCGUAAAGAGCUCGUAGGCGGUUUGUCGCGUCUGCCGUGAAAGUCCGGGGCUCAACUCCGGAUCUGCGGUGGGUACGGGCAGACUAGAGUGAUGUAGGGGAGGCUGGAAUUCCUGGUGUAGCGGUGAAAUGCGCAGAUAUCAGGAGGAACACCGAUGGCGAAGGCAGGUCUCUGGGCAUUAACUGACGCUGAGGAGCGAAAGCAUGGGGAGCGAACAGG
rnacentral:rRNA from 1 species